UACAGAGGGUGCGAGCGUUGUUCGGAAUUAUUGGGCGUAAAGGGCGCGUAGGCGGUGCGGUAAGUCACCUGUGAAAUCUCCUGGCUCAACUGGGAGCUUGCAGGCGAAACUGCCGUGCUGGAGUGUGGGAGAGGUGCGUGGAAUUCCUGGUGUAGCGGUGAAAUGCGUAGAUAUCAGGAGGAACACCGGUGGCGAAGGCGGGUCUCUGGGCCGUUACUGACGCUGAGGAGCGAAAGCGUGGGGAGCGAACAGG
rnacentral:rRNA from 1 species